UACAGAGGUCUCAAGCGUUGUUCGGAUUCAUUGGGCGUAAAGGGUGCGUAGGCGGCGCGGUAAGUCGGGUGUGAAAGCCCCGGGCUCAACCUGGGAAUUGCAUUCGAGACUGAAUAGCUAGGGUACGGUAGAGGGAAGUGGAAUUUCCGGUGUAGCGGUGAAAUGCGUAGAUAUCGGAAGGAACAUCAGUGGCGAAAGCGACUUCCUGGACCAGUACCGACGUUCAGGCACGAAAGCGUGGGGAGCAAACAGG
rnacentral:rRNA from 1 species